GUGGUUCUUCACGUCUCACCGACGAUGGCGAUCGUCUUUGUAACGUCACUUGGAAACAUUAAUCCAAGCAUUAACUUUUCUGCGCCACUCCUCCCACUCUUGAAUUAAAUUGACCAUAUCAUUUUCUAAAGUAAUCCCCUGAAGCUUCAACCAUAAAUGGCUUUGUUGCUUGGGAUGAACAGUCUUACCAAAACAAAAUCCCAAAGGUCUACCUCUGUCGAGCAUUAAAUCCAUCAGUGGCGAGUUCAAUUAUUUUUCUUGCCGAUUUAAAAGCUGGAUGUUGUUCAAACACCGCCCAGGUCCCUCUCCUCAGAUUAAGAAAGGCAAGAAAUGUUAAGAAAGGUGGUCUCCAUAAAGAGAAUGUAACUCCGGCUAGCCACCACCGUGUUUUAUUAGCUCUUUCUACUUAACCUUUUGAUAGUCCACGCUUAUUAUGUGUUUCUAAAACAGUCAAAUUGUCAACGAGAAGUUGAUUUUGGUUCAGGUUCAAUAGCUUAAUACUUUCAAAAAUCUAUUGAGGGAAGGAGGGAUGUAUGGGCUUCGUGGUGUUGAUGCCGCUGGAAUCGCGUUUCACUGACCACACGAGCUUUGUUGAGGUCACGUAACAAGUGACCAUCCCAGGAGAGAAGUUUCGUUUUCAAAAGUAUGAUCAACUCAUGGCUUUGGCUAAACCAACGUGGAUCUGGCUGGUUUUUAUAACAAUUUUGAACUCAUACUUUAACCGUAUAGUAGUAUCAGCACUGUUUUCAAUAAAGAAAAUCAUUCCAUUCAUCAUGUGAUGAUAACAAUCCAAUUAUACAGGAAAGACACAUCUCUCUCUUCAAAGCAAAACUGGGUUAGAUCCAGCGACUGUAGCUUCCUUGUGCUUACUGAUCAGUUCAAAGUUCACUCAUUUAUGAGACUAAACCUGUGAUUCAAUUUCAUAUAAUGGAAAUAUUCCAGAACAAACUCAAGAUGAAUUGGAUGACUUCAAUACUUGGUUAGAUAUCUCUCCACUCUAAAUCAAAUAAGAAAAGUUGCAACUCUGGAGAUGUAAAUGAAUGUAAAUUGAUGGAAGCUAAAAUCAGAAAACAAAAACUUGAUUUUGUGAAGCCUGCUCUAAGGCUUAGCUUAUUAUACGUUUUGUGUUCUGUAAGUAUUAUAUAAUUUUGGGGUUCUCGGAUGUUUUGUGGUUGUAAUUCAUGCCAUCAUGGAGAAGAGAAAAGUACACUCAUCUGGUUAUUGAUGUUGUGCUGACUAAUAGAUUCCCGGUUAAAGGUGUAAUCAGAUUUUUCAGGAUGCCAUGAUGUGUAUCGAUCCAUAGGUACCUGCAUGGCCAGAACCGCAGUUUUUUUGAGUCAAUGGUUCGUUACCCUCCAGUUUAUUAGGUUCCAGAUUGCCCCCCGGUGACAAGGAGAUAUUUGAUACAAGAAGCUCUAUCAGGCAAUUUCAUUGAGUUUUUUUUCUUGAAAAACAUAUUAUAUAGUUGGAUGUGUAACUGA